rnacentral:ncRNA from 2 species
CCCCGUUCACCGGGGGGCCGCUUCGCGCGGCUGAGAUUGGGCGUCAGCCCUGACCCGUCGAACCUGAUCCGGGUCAUGCCGGCGAAGGGAGGGAACGCGGUCAGGGC